rnacentral:tRNA from 1 species
GGAGCUGGGGCUCAGCGGUAGAGUGCACACUUAGCACGUGUGAGGCCCUUGGUUCAAUCCUCAGCACCA